UGCGGUCGAACGGUAGCACAGAGAGCUUGCUCUCGGGUGACGAGUGGCGGACGGGUGAGUAAUGUCUGGGAAACUGCCUGAUGGAGGGGGAUAACUACUGGAAACGGUAGCUAAUACCGCAUAACGUCGCAAGACCAAAGAGGGGGACCUUCGGGCCUCUUGCCAUCAGAUGUGCCCAGAUGGGAUUAGCUAGUAGGUGGGGUAACGGCUCACCUAGGCGACGAUCCCUAGCUGGUCUGAGAGGAUGACCAGCCACACUGGAACUGAGACACGGUCCAGACUCCUACGGGAGGCAGCAGUGGGGAAUAUUGCACAAUGGGCGCAAGCCUGAUGCAGCCAUGCCGCGUGUAUGAAGAAGGCCUUCGGGUUGUAAAGUACUUUCAGCGGGGAGGAAGGUGUUGUGGUUAAUAACCGCAGCAAUUGACGUUACCCGCAGAAGAAGCACCGGCUAACUCCGUGCCAGCAGCCGCGGUAAUACGGAGGGUGCAAGCGUUAAUCGGAAUUACUGGGCGUAAAGCGCACGCAGGCGGUCUGUCAAGUCGGAUGUGAAAUCCCCGGGCUCAACCUGGGAACUGCAUUCGAAACUGGCAGGCUAGAGUCUUGUAGAGGGGGGUAGAAUUCCAGGUGUAGCGGUGAAAUGCGUAGAGAUCUGGAGGAAUACCGGUGGCGAAGGCGGCCCCUCUGGGACAAAGACUGACGCUCAGGUGCGAAAGCGUGGGGAGCAAACAGGGAUUAGAUACCCUGGAUAGUCCACGCCGUAAACGAUGUCGACUUUGCAGGUUGUGCCCUUU
rnacentral:rRNA from 1 species